rnacentral:rRNA from 1 species
UACGUAGGGUGCGAGCGUUAAUCGGAAUUACUGGGCGUAAAGCGUGCGCAGGCGGUUAGAUAAGUUUGAUGUGAAAUCCCCGGGCUCAACCUGGGAACUGCAUUGAAGACUGUCUGACUAGAGUACGGCAGAGGGGGGUGGAAUUCCACGUGUAGCAGUGAAAUGCGUAGAGAUGUGGAGGAACACCGAUGGCGAAGGCAGCCCCCUGGGUCGAUACUGACGCUCAUGCACGAAAGCGUGGGGAGCAAACAGG